rnacentral:rRNA from 1 species
GACGAACGCUGGCGGCGUGCUUAACACAUGCAAGUCGAACGGAAAGGCCCUGCUUUUGUGGGGUGCUCGAGUGGCGAACGGGUGAGUAACACGUGAGUAACCUGCCCUUGACUUUGGGAUAACUUCAGGAAACUGGGGCUAAUACCGGAUAGGAGCUCCUGCUGCAUGGUGGGGGUUGGAAAGUUUCGGCGGUUGGGGAUGGACUCGCGGCUUAUCAGCUUGUUGGUGGGGUAGUGGCUUACCAAGGCUUUGACGGGUAGCCGGCCUGAGAGGGUGACCGGCCACAUUGGGAUGGGGGUACGGCCCAGACUCCUACGGGAGGCAGCAGUGGGGAAUAUUGCACAAUGGGCGGAAGCCUGAUGCAGCAACGCCGCGUGCGGGAUAACGGCCUUCGGGUUGUAAACCGCUUUCGCCUGUGACGAAGCGUGAGUGACGGUAAUGGGUAAAGAAGCACCGGCUAACUACGUG